rnacentral:tRNA from 1 species
UCCCUGAUAGCUCAGUUGGUAGAGCGACGGACUGUUAAUCCGCAGGUCGUAGGUUCGAAUCCUACUCGGGGAGCCA